rnacentral:rRNA from 1 species
AGCUCCAAUAGCGUAUAUUAAAGUUGUUGCAGUUAAAAAGCUCGUAGUUGGAUCUCGGGUACUAGCAUGUGGUCCGCAUAACUGCUGUUACUACAUGUCUGGUCCUACUCAAUCGGUUGGCCGUUGAUGUCCUUCAUUGGGUGUUUUCGGUAGCCGGUACGUUUACUUUGAGAAAAUUAGAGUGCUUAAAGCAGGCUAUAGGCCUGAAUAAUGUUGCAUGGAAUAAUAGAAUAGGACAUCGGUUCUAUUUUGUUGGUUUUGUAGAGAAUUGAGGUAAUGAUUAAUAGGGACAGACGGGGGCAUUCGUAUUGCGGUGUUAGAGGUGAAAUUCUUGGAUCGCCGCAAGACGAACAACUGCGAAAUCAUUUGCCAAGAAUGUUUUCA